rnacentral:lncRNA from 1 species
CCUACCAUUGCGAGUAUUUGACAAGAUUCAUAUCUAUUCAAAUGUGUAAACAUUAGUAAACAGUUAUCUUAAAAAUGCCACUUCAUAUGUCAUCAUCAAGGACUUCAUAUCAAUACAAUUACCUAACAUGUUUAUUGACAAAAAAAAUUCUAACAUAGUGCAUCAACACCUGCAUCCAUAUCCAUCAAUGUAGGAAGUCAAAAAGCGCAAAGGACAACUCAAAACUAAUUUAGGCAUUUUGAGCUGAAUAUGUGCUGGUUCUCUUGUUGUGACCUGCUGCUUUUUAAUCUACACUUGCUUGUAUUACUUGUAUGUGGCUUACCAUGCGAUAUUGCUGGCUUACCAUGCGAUAUUGCUGUUCAACGGUCCCUUUAUACUAGCUCUCUUUGAUCUUCGAGCCUCGGCCUUGGUUUGGAUGGGUAGUGUUAGAGGAACUUGGCCUGGAGUACUGCACAACUCAGGGCUUCUCAUGGGAGAGAUGGUAUAUGAAUAUGUUGUAAUGUCAGCUGCUUUUUGUAUAGUCCAUCAGUUGGGCCUCCAUUUUCCAAGAAAGCAAAACUUUCAAUCACAUGUGAACAUGGUAUGCCACUUAGCUAUCAACUCCUACAUGAACAGUUCUUGCUCUCAAGUCCACUGAAGAUUCUCAUAUGUGCAUUUGUAUAAGCGUAAAGACUAUAAAUAAAAAAAAUGUAUCCAUACAGAUAGUUGUUAAUAAUAGCAUUAUAUAUGCGAUGGUACCUUACUCGAUAAGGAUGGCUUUAUUCAUUUGAAACCAUCUAUUGAAAACCAGGAAUACCAAAUAGAUACAAGGAAAUGUGAAUAGGCAAAGUACCUAUUCAUUUUUAACCAGAUUCCAUAAGACUUCACACCAUCAACCAUCAAAAUAAAUUUGACUCCAUUCCAUUCAAUUAUCGUUUUCCAGAUGCCCCAGAGAAAUUUAUGACAAUUUGGCCGUCAAUGUACACAAGCCUCCUACUUCACCUGUGUUUGAAACAUAGUAUGAUAUAUAUAGGCAUCUACAGUCAUUUUGACUCCGCAAUUUUUUUUCUUUUGAGUGCACUACUCACCAUAUAUAUUUCUCCGACUUCAUUUAAAUAAGGCUGAACAAAUUUCUUCACAAACUUGCUAUCUGGGAUUGUAGCAAUAGUUGAAAGACAAGGCCACUUUCCAAUCAAAUUAUUACUCUCCAAAACUCCUAAAACUUGCAUUCUGGGCUUAAUCUUCUUUUCAACACUGCAAGUCAAUGAUAUUGGACAGUUAACAAUACAUGAAAGAUCAUACUUCCCGGUUGCAAGUAAAAGCUCUACUACCUUACUUAUCUUCCUCUGUGAUACAGAAAAUACCUGAGGAGCCUUUUGAAACAUUUUCAAAAUAUCAUAUUCCGAAAACCCCAAAUUCCUAAAAUGCCUUAACUUGAGUUUCCAAUUCUCGUUGCUCAUUGAACCAACAACCCGAACAGCAUGAAUAAACAAUUUGGAACUUCUACAAGUCCCCAUCUCAUCAACCAUUUUAACAAAAAAUUUCAUAUUUUCUGGACUACACAUGAGAAACCUUGGAAAAUUAUACAUUUUCUUUAUUAUUUGCUCCAUGCCUACACCACAACUCUUUAACAAUUCAAUAUUAGGUACCAUAAUCUUCUCCAAAUCUUUUUUCAAGUACCACCCAGAAAUCUUUAAAACCUUAGUUACCUCUGCACUAGAUCCCAAUAAUCUUUUCAAAACUGAUAAUGACGGUCUUACCCUACUAUCUGCACUUCGAUGCAAAUUUGCUGGAUCGCUUGAGAUAAUCUCAGCAAUGUCUUCAGCAGAAAUGCCCAAAUCUUGGAAAAUCUUGAAUUUGGGCAUGAUGGUAUUCUCAAGACUUGCAGCAAGCAAACCAGGCUUAGUUCUCACGACUUUCUCCAACUGACUCUUUGAAAAACCACUCUCCUUAAGGAAUGAUAAUAUUGAAUCAGAUUUUUCCGGAUUCUUUAUACGGUUUAAAACAGAGGCAACUUGUGAAGCUGUUUCAGGAGAAAAUUGGUGUUUGUGUAGCAGGAAAUCAUACACUGUAAGAUCAGUUUUCACUUUCUUUUCGGUCGAGGAAGAGGAAUAAAGGAGAGAAAGUGAGAAAGAAAAAUGGGAUUUGCAGAGAAAUGACGGGUUACUUUUGCAUAAAUACAUAGCCAUUAUCUUUGAAGUAUUGUGGAUUACCUCUAUGAAUCAUAUAUGUUGAACCUUGGACGAUGAUUCAGUAAAGCUUCUACAAUUGGAUUCUCUGAAGAAAAAAAUUCUAGUGUGUUUAGGAUCUAGGGCUCUUGGGAGUAGGAAGAAAAACACACCACCGCAU